rnacentral:rRNA from 1 species
UGGGGAAUUUUGGACAAUGGGCGCAAGCCUGAUCCAGCCAUGCCGCGUGCGGGAAGAGGGCCUUCGGGUUGUAAACCGCUUUUGUCAGGGAAGAAAUCUUCUGAGUUAAUACCUCGGGAGGAUGACGGUACCUGAAGAAUAAGCACCGGCUAACUACGUGCCAGCAGCCGCGGUAAUACGUAGGGUGCAAGCGUUAAUCGGAAUUACUGGGCGUAAAGCGUGCGCAGGCGGUUUUGUAAGACAGAGGUGAAAUCCCCGGGCUCAACCUGGGAACUGCCUUUGUGACUGCAAGGCUUGAGUGCGGCAGAGGGGGCAUGGAAUUCCGCGUGUAGCAGUGAAAUUGCGUAGAUAUGCGGAGGAACACCGAUGGCGAAGGCAAUCCCCCUGGGCCUGCACUGACGCUCAUGC